rnacentral:lncRNA from 1 species
CUGAAAGGAAUAAGGCAAAGGCAGGCAGUAACGUCUGGGCAGGCACUGUGCAUUGUUCAGUGUGCCUCCUUUCUGUUUAAAGGGAAAUGGUAGAGGGGAAAUGUCAUUUUUUUUUUUUAUUUGCACAAGUAAAAGAAAGCUGGUAGUUUCCUCUUCUCCCGCUUCUGUGAUUCUUUGCCAUUUUCUGGAAGAAGUAACAGAGGUCAGACAAGGAGAGGGUGAAUUCUCAAAACCGGGGCAAUGCAAUGGGUUUGCAGUUGGAAUAUGGCUUAUUGAAGACUGAAUGUAAGAACAGGAGACUUCUAGUCUCCAUCUGUGCCCUGGAUAUCCCACAGCAUUCCUUACCCAAAUCCCACAAGGAGAGAGCUGGUAUUCUAGGAGUGCUGUCCCUCCUAAGCUCACAGGUCUCCCCUUUGGAAACUUGCAUCCCAUCGCCUCCUCCCACUGCUUCUAUGAGGGUGCUUCCCCACCCACAAACUCCAGUCUUCUCACCCUGGAAUUCCUAUACACUGGGUCAUCUAACAGCCUCAAGCCCAAGGCCUGCUCCUCCCACUGACAUCUAACAAGGCCAUCCUCUGCCACAUAUGCGGCUGGAGCAUGGGUUACUCCAUGUGUACUCUGGUUGGUGGUCUAGUACCCAGGAGCUUCAGAGGGUCUGGCUUGUUGACACUGUUGCUCCCCUCAUGGGGCUUGUAUAAUGCCUCAGCUUCUUCAGUCCCUUCUCCAACUCCUCCAUUAGGGACUCCCACAUUCCCCCCACCCCCCCAUCCACCUCUCAGGAGUCUAACUUUUUGAGUUCUUUAUUUAUAUUGGAUAUUAGCUUUCUAUCAGAUGUUAAGAUUGGUAAAGACCUUUUCCCAAUCUGUUUGUUGCCAUUUAUGGAUCUUGUUUACAUAUACAGUCUGUUACUCUAUGUCUUUUUAUUGGGGAGUUGAGUCAAUUGAUGUUAAGAGAUAUUAAGGAAUAGUGAUCUUGCCUCUUGUUUUUUUUCUUUUAUGUUAUUUUUAUGUUUGUGUGGCUAUCUUCUAUUGGGUUUGUUGAAAGAAGACUACUUUCUUGCUUUUUCUAGGGUGUAGUUUCUCUCCUUGUGUUGGAGUUUUCCAUCUAUUAUACUUUGAAGGCUGGAUUUGUGGAAAGAUAUUGUGUAAAUUUGUCUUUUUUAUGGAAUACCUUGGUUUCUCCACCUAUAGUAAUUGAGAGUUUUGCUAGGUAUAGUAGCCUGGGAUGGCAUUUGUGAUCUCACUGGGUCUGUACAACAUCUGCCCAGGAUCUUUUAGCUUUCAUAGUCUGGUGAGAAGUUUGGUGUAAUUCUGAUCUGCCUUUAUAUGUUACUUGACCUUUUUCCCUUACUGCUUUUAAUAUUCUUUCUUUGAUUAUUAUAUGAUGGGAGGAAUUUCUUUUCUGGUCCAGUCUAUUUGGAGUUCUGUAUGCCUCUUGUAUGCUUAUAGGCAUCUCUUUCUUUAGGUUAGGGAAGUUUUCUUCUAUAAUUAAGAUAUUUACUGGCUCUUUAAGUUGGGAUCUUCACUCUUUUCUAUACCUAUUAUCCUUAGGUUUAGUCUUCUCAUUGUGUCCUGGAUUUCCUGGAUGUUUUGGGUUAGGAGCUUUUUGCAUUUUGCAUUUUCUUUGACUGUUGUGUCAAUGUUUUCUCUGGUGUCUUCUGCACCUGAGAUUCUCUCUUCUAUCUCUUGUAUUCUGUUGGUGAUGCUUGCAUCUAUGACUCCUGAUCUCUUUCCUAGGUUUCUAUCUCCAGGGUUGUCUCCCUUUGUGAUUUCUUUAUUGAUUCUAUUUCCACUUUUAGAUCCUGGAUGGCUUUGUUCAAUUCCUUCACCUGUUUGGUUUUGUUUUCCUGUAAUUCUUUAAGGGAUUUUUGUUUUCCCUCCUUAACGGACUUCUAGCUGUUUAUCUGUGUUCUGUAUUUCAUUAAGGGAAUUUUUAUGUCCUUCUUAAUGUCCUCUAUCAUCAUCAUGAGAUGUGAUUUUAAAUUAGAGUCUUUGUGUGUGUGUGUGUGUGUGUGUGUGUGUGUGUGUGUUGGCAUAUCCGGGGCUUGCUGUGGUGGGAGAACUGAGUUCUGAUAAUACCAAUUAGCUUUGGUUUCUGUUGCUUAUGUUUUUGCCCUUGUCUGUUGCCUGCAAUCUGGGUCUCUCUGGUGUUACUGUCUCUGACUGUGGCUUGUCCCUCCUGAAAGUCUGUGUGUCAGUACUCCCGGGACACCAGUUCUUUCUUGGAUGAAUUUGGGUAUGGAUUGCUGUGGAGCAGGGUCAGCUCUGGGGCACACACAGAAACUUGAAAGAUCCUGUCUUGGGCUGUUCCUUGGUUCCUGUGUCCUGAUGACUCUGGGCUGGUCUCUCUUGGGCCAGGAAUUUGACCAGAAGUGGUGGUCUUACCUGUGCUCACAGGUGUGCUAGCACUCCUGGGAGACCAGUUCUCUCUCAGCUGUAUUUUGGUGUGGAUCACUGUGGCUCAGGAUCAGCUCUGGGUUGGGAAUAUUUCUUUUUAUGUCAACAUAAUUCUUUGUGGUUACUGCCUGACUGAAUGCACUUGAGAGCUAGUGUAUUUUAGAUACUGAUAAACUGAUAAUACUUUUGAAUAUUGUUGAAACUCUAUAAGACACCCAAUAAUACAUUAACUUCUUUUACCUGGACUGUCUACUUGAACUCUGUAGAAAUUGCUGAUUUUUCAGCAUUGAUGCUUGUGUUGUCACUUUAUCUUCGUGAGACUGCCUUAUGGUAUCAAAUAAAAGCUGUGAACCAGAUGGUCUUGGAGACUCCUUGCAGCUUUAACAUCACCCUUUUACACUGAGCA